UGCAAGUCGAGCGGCAGCGGGUCCUUCGGGAUGCCGGCGAGCGGCGGACGGGUGAGUAAUGCCUAGGAAUCUGCCUGGUAGUGGGGGAUAACUCGGGGAAACUCGAGCUAAUACCGCAUACGUCCUACGGGAGAAAGCGGGGGAUCUUCGGACCUCGCGCUACCAGAUGAGCCUAGGUCGGAUUAGCUAGUUGGUGAGGUAAAGGCUCACCAAGGCGACGAUCCGUAGCUGGUCUGAGAGGAUGAUCAGCCACACUGGAACUGAGACACGGUCCAGACUCCUACGGGAGGCAGCAGUGGGGAAUAUUGGACAAUGGGCGAAAGCCUGAUCCAGCCAUGCCGCGUGUGUGAAGAAGGUCUUCGGAUUGUAAAGCACUUUAAGUUGGGAGGAAGGGCAGUAAGCUAAUACCUUGCUGUUUUGACGUUACCGACAGAAUAAGCACCGGCUAACUUCGUGCCAGCAGCCGCGGUAAUACGAAGGGUGC
rnacentral:rRNA from 1 species